AUAUUUACCUGGCAGAAAAAUACACUAUGAUCAUGAAAGUGGUUUUUUCAGGGCGAGGUUUUAUUUAUUGCGCUCCUGUUGUGUUCACCUUUGCUAUUUCCCCAAAUGUGGUGAAGUUCCACUGCUUUAUUUGUGGUAGUGGGGGACUGCGUUCGCGCUUUUUCCUC